GAGGCGAACCGGGGGAACUGAAACAUCUAAGUACCCCGAGGAAAAGAAAUCAACCGAGAUUCCGAAAGUAGCGGCGAGCGAAAUUGGACUAGCCCUUAAGCUUUACACGCGUUAGACGAACGGUCUGGAAAGUCCGACGAUACAGGGUGAUAGUCCCGUAGUUGACGACGUGUGUUCAGUGAAAUCGAGUAGGGCGGGACACGUGAUAUCCUGUCUGAAUAUGGGGGGACCAUCCUCCAAGGCUAAAUACUACUGACUGACC
rnacentral:rRNA from 1 species